UGAUAAAAAAUUUCACUUAUUUUUAUUGUUAAAAAUUGAGGUGGCCGAUGAAAUAAUCAAAUACUUACAAGUGGCGUGCUACUCCCACCUCAUGCUGAUGUAUAUGGAUUAGUUUUUAACAGUAGAAAUCGAUAAAAUAUUUAACA
rfam:Gossypium arboreum cultivar AKA8401 contig_2261_1, whole genome shotgun sequence.